GCCUGGGUGGCUCAGUUGGUCAAGCAUCUGACUUCGGCCCAGGUCAUCAUGACCCAUUUCAUGGGUUCAAGCCCCAUGUCGGGCU
rfam:Felis catus isolate Cinnamon breed Abyssinian chromosome E1, whole genome shotgun sequence.